rnacentral:rRNA from 1 species
AAACAUCACUAGGAGAAGUUCACUCUUAGCAGUGCCUGCCCAGUGCAAAAUUGUAAACGGCCGCCCUAGCGUGAGGGUGCCAAGGUAGCGAAAUUCCUUGCCUUUUAAUUGUAGGCCUGCAUGAAUGGAUUGACGAGGGUCAAGCUGUCUCUUGCCUUGAUGACGAAAUUGGACUAAAGGUGAAGAUACCUUUAUAGAAAAGUUAGACAAGAAGACCCCGUGCAGCUUUAAAAAAGUUACUUAUUAAGAGUUGUAAGAUUUUUAGGUGGGGCGCCUAGGAAGUAAAACUUAACCUUCUUAUUUGUUAAGAAAGGCUCUCAGGCAUAGACCCGGCAAGUCCGAUCAUGGGAGAAGUUACGCCGGGGAUAACAGGCUUAUCCAUUAGUAGAGCUCGUAUUGGCUAAUGGGAUUGGCACCUCGAUGUUGAAUUAAGGAUGAUAGCUCUAAGGCGUAGAAGCUUUAGAAGUGGGUCUGUUCGACCUUUAAUACCUUACGUGAUC